CCUCGUUUGCCCGACACUUACGACAGGCCCUUGGACGUAAGGCGUGGACGUGGAUGACGUCACCCUCCGGCCUGCGUGUUGGGGAGGAGCGAGUAGCGGGGUGGUCGCUCCCUCGGGAUUUGGGUGCGGCUGGGCUCAGUCUAAGAAAGUUCUGUCUGAAAAUAUAAACAAAGUGGCUGCGAGUGGACAGUGCAUCCUGGUCUCUGGUGAAUCUGCAGAGGACUAGAAUAUCUAAACCCAAGUCCUUGACGAUCCCCGUGCUUUUGGGAAACUCUGAGCCUGAGAUGCUAAUGAGAAACAACAAAGAUACAGCUUAUUCCUAAAGCGCUCAAGGCAGUCUGCUGAAUAGGAGCGUGAAGUAGAAGUCAUCGACAGAGGCUGCUGUAUCACCAUAUGCACAUUUAAAAUUUGUACAGUUUUAAUGAAGGCAUACUUCACAAUGAAUGAAGGACAGAAAGCCAAAAUUCUAACUCUGGUAAAUGGUAUGCAUGUCAAAUCUUAAGGGAUAAAGUAUAUACUAAGCUCUAUAGUUUAAAAUGUGUAAAAAUAAUAAAAUUAUUGAUGGGUGGUUGGAGUAAUUAUGCAAAAGACUGAAUAAGCAUUGAUAGCAGAAUCUAGCUGGUGAGUAGACAGGUCUUAAAUGAAAAUUAUUUCUGCAUGUUUGAAAAUGUUUAUAAUAUGCUAAAUAAAACAUCAAAAAGAAGUAUACAUAUGUCCACAUCAGGGAAGGUAAUAAUUAUGAGUGUGUGUCUUGGGGUGGGUAGGGAUGUAGUUUAUUCGUCAGGAUAUUAUUUACUCAGAAGCUUGGGUUCAGUUGGCAGUGCUUCAUUAAACUGGGCACAAUUUAUGGCAGAAGCCUGUAACCCAAGCACUAGGGAAAUUGAGACAGGAUUGGGAGUUCAAAGUCAUCCUUGGCUACACAGAAAGUCUGAGGCUAGCCUAGGCUACAUGACACCCCAUGUUUGGGGAAAAAUGAGCAGUGAUAACAUAGCAACAGUAGCACAGACUUAAAGAGUAAGGGACUUUGGAGGAUCGUCCUGGAGAAUGAUCCUUCUGAGUGAUUCAUUGGAGAAAUCUCCAUACUGAUCAGUAAUUGUUAUAACCUUUAGCUAAUCAAGCUUUGGUGAAUAUGAGGCAAAGACCCCAGCUUCCUGACAUGUUUCACUAAUUUGUCAUUAAAAAAAAUAGGAUAUCAGACUGUAAUAGUAUCAGCUGUGUAAGCAAGAGCUUUUAGUACUUCCUUUUUUAUGAUAUAUCACAGGCUGGCUUUGAACUUGAUAUGCAGCUAAGGAUGACCUUUAACUCUUGAACCAAUUACUUCCAAGUUUCAAGUGCAGGAAUCAUAGCUGUGCCCCACCAUGCCUGGUUUACGAAGUGCUGAGCAAUCAAACCAGGAUGUCAUGCCUGCUAAGGUAGCACACUACCAACUGAACAUCUCUAGUUCAGGACUUGCAUCUCAUGCUUUACAAAGCUUCACAGGGACUUUUAUCUUCAGUAACACAUGCUCUCCUGAACUUAGGCAUGCAUACUGAGCACACAUCAGUGUCGAAGCAUAUAACUAAUCCAACAGAGAGUGCCCAUUGCAAGUACAGAAUCAAAACAAUCAAAAGGUCCUUGGUGACUGAUGAAGGGCAGUUUCUGGACCCAAUCCAGGUUUUUGAUUUGGAAUCCGCUUAACAAUGCUGAAGCUAAUAUAACAUUAAAGUGCUUGUUGUGAUCUUAAAAUUAUCCAUAUUUUGUAUGCUUAUAGUUAUAUAUAUUUCCACAAUUUAUAGCUUUGAAAAUUACGUUUUCAAAAUUUAUAUUUAUAGAGAAUAUAAUUUAGGCUUUCAGUAAACCAACACAUGAAUAUUAGGUCAUUUCACAUUCUUUAUAUAAUUGGUCUAACAGAUUAAAUAGUUUAUUACAGGGCUUGAUAAUUUCUUUCAAGCCAUUUAUAUAAUCAAUUGUCCAUUGAUAUAGGCAAAAAACUUAAUUGGCUUUUGAUUGUAAUUCAGCCAACUCUCAAUUAUUGUGAUUAUUAGGAAGAAGUCAGUCAUUUUUUCAAAAGUAAUGGUAAUGGUAAGAUACACAAGUUUGCAGAGAUCCAGAAUUGAAAAGAAAUCAUGAAGUUACUAGCUAAGUUGUAAGCAAAUUCUUUUGUGAAUUAUUUUAUCAACAGUAGCAUGACAGAAAAUAUGUUUAACGAAUAAUACUGUGAAAAAGUUUUCUUUUUCCAAAUAGUGGCAAGGAUAUCUGAAUCAGUUCCAGUAAAUUCAAUUAUCUUUGAAAACCCACUAAGUUGUCCUUUUGCUUAGGUGGCCACCAAUGCACAAGACACAAAACAUGGGAAGAGCAAGGAGACGAUACCUGGAUAAUCUCCCCCAAAUAACUGAGAGUUGACUGCAAUUACUUACAGGCUGUGGGUCAAAUCCUAUCUGUCCAGUUAGUUCUGCUAGCUCCUUCUCACGGUAAUCAUCCAGCUCAAGGGGGCUCAUAGGACCUAGACCUUAAUGGAAACAUUGUCUUAUUAUUUUGGUAGAGAUAAGUGAAAAAUGAUAAUUAAAUUACUCUGUAAAUAGGAAAACCUGCCCACUUUAUCGUAUAAAUUAGAACCAAUAAAAUGUAAGCCAGCCCUACCUCCCAGUCACCCACUUAAGAAACUGAGCUCUCCCACUGAUUUGCUGAGAGCAUGGAAGAACGUCAGGAAACAGAAGCUUGCGGCAGACAGCAUUUGCUGAGUGUUCCCCUUCUGUUUCCAUUAUUUGUACUGCUGUGAACUCAUACCUGUA